GCCCACGAAUGGAAUGACAGGCCUGUUAUCGAAGCCACGCCUUCAUCCGCCAACAGCCCAACGCUAGCCGGCCGGCAGCAACGAGCAGAUCCACUCCUCCCGCCAAAAGCUCCGCCGUCUUCCCGCCAAAUCCCUCCUCUAUUACCCCCUUCCCGCCACACCCGACCCCGUCCCAUCGCCGUCGUCCCAGUCCACGUCCACGUCCACGCCGACGCACCCGCAUCCCUCUCUCGCCUGCGCCGCAGCUAUGUCGGGCUGGGACGAGGGCGCCGUGUUCUACAGCGACCAGGCGCAAUUCCCCCGCGGCGGCCCUGGCGGCGACCCAGCCGCCGACCUCACCCGCCACUCCGCCCUCCGCAAAUUCAAGGAGUUUCUCCGCGGCUUCACUGGCCCCACCGGCGACUUCCCCUACCGUGAGAGCCUAGUACACAACCGCGACCAUGUCACCGUCGCUAUUGAGGACCUCGACGCCUUCGAUGCCGAGCUCUCUGACAAGAUCCGCAAGUCGCCGGCCGAUUAUCUUCCUUUGUUUGAGACGGCUGCGGCCGAGGUUCUCGCAAGUCUCCGUUCGAAAGUCGCCGGCGAGACCGGAGAGAUGGAGGAGCCCGUCACUGGAGAUGUCCAGAUUUUCCUCUCCUCCAAGGAGAACUGCCUGUCCAUGAGAUCUGUUGGGGCGGAUUACAUGUCGAAGCUGGUUAAGAUAGCGGGAAUAGCAAUUGCUGCAUCGAGAGUAAAAGCUAAGGCCACCCAUGUAACUCUUAUCUGCAAGAAUUGCCGGAGUGUGAGGACAGUGCCUUGCAGACCAGGCCUCGGCGGGGCUAUUGUUCCACGUUCGUGUGACCAUGUUCCUCAGCCUGGAGAGGAGCCAUGCCCUCUGGACCCUUGGAUUGCCGUUCCAGAUAAGAGCAAGUAUGUGGAUCUCCAGACCCUCAAAUUGCAAGAGAAUCCUGAGGAUGUUCCAACUGGUGAGCUUCCAAGGAAUGUGCUGCUUUCUGUAGAUAGGCACCUAGUUCAGACUAUUGUUCCAGGGACUAGAUUAACUGUUGUUGGCAUCUACAGCGUGUACCAAGCAUCCACAACCCAGAAGGGUGCUGUUGGUGUUAAGCAGCCUUACAUUAGAGUUGUGGGUUUAGAGCAAUCUCGAGACAAUAACUCAAAUGGCCCCUCAAACUUCACUCUUGAUGAGGAAAUGGAAUUCAAAGAAUUUGCACAGAGGCCAGAUGCAUAUGCCAAGCUAUGCUCAAUGAUUGGUCCUUCAAUUUAUGGUCAUUCUGAUGUCAAGAAAGCUAUUGCAUGCUUGUUAUUUGGGGGAUCUAAGAAGAGGCUACCUGAUGGUGUACGUUUAAGAGGGGACAUUCAUGUCUUGCUUCUCGGUGAUCCCUCCACAGCAAAAUCACAGUUCCUAAAAUUUGUAGAGAAGACUGCACCUAUUGCAGUAUAUACAUCUGGCAAAGGAUCGUCUGCAGCUGGUCUUACAGCAUCUGUAACUCGUGAUAGUAGCUCGCGUGAGUUUUAUUUGGAAGGAGGAGCCAUGGUUUUGGCUGAUGGUGGAGUAGUUUGUAUCGAUGAAUUUGACAAGAUGAGACCUGAAGACAGAGUUGCAAUUCAUGAGGCCAUGGAGCAGCAGACAAUAUCUAUUGCCAAAGCUGGCAUUACAACAGUACUCAAUUCAAGGACUUCAGUUCUUGCAGCUGCCAAUCCAAUUGCAGGACGCUAUGAUGAUCUUAAGACCGCGCAAGAUAAUAUUGAUCUGCAGACGACCAUUCUUUCUAGAUUUGAUCUAAUCUUUAUCGUCAAGGAUAUCAGAAUGUAUGAUCAAGAUAAGAGAAUAGCAAGCCACAUUAUCAAGGUGCAUGCCAGUGGUGCUGCAGCUUCAUCCACAAACACAGAGGGGAGUGAAGGAGAGAAUUGGCUGAAAAGGUACAUUGAGUACUGCCGCGCCACAUGCAAACCACGGCUUUCAGAAAAAGCAGCUGAGAUGCUGCAGAACAAAUAUAUCGAGAUUAGACAGCUUAAAAUCUGUUGCGCAGAAAAUGAGGCAGCAAGCUCACGAGACAGGGAGGGCCGCAGCUAUACCCAUCACAGUGAGGCAGCUUGAAGCCAUCAUCCGUUUGAGUGAAUCUCUUGCAAAGAUGAGAUUGACAAGUGUGGCUACACCGGAGCAUGUCGAAGAGGCAUUCAGACUGUUCAAUGUUUCCACCGUUGAUGCUGCAAGAUCCGGAAUCAAUGAGCAUUUGAACCUGUCACCGGAGAUCGCAAACGAAAUCAAGCAAGCGGAGGCACAAAUAAAGAGAAGAAUGGGCAUCGGCAGCCACAUAUCCGAGCGACGGCUGAUUGAUGAUCUAAACCGGAUGGGGAUGAAUGAAUCCAUCGUCAGAAGAGCCCUUCUGAUCAUGCAUCAAAGGGACGAGGUGGAGUACAAGAGAGAGCGCCACGUGAUCGUCCGAAAGGCUUGAGGUGGAGAGGCCAGUCAGAUUCACGGCAUACAACGUACACUGGAGGCGGUCCUUCCUCUUCGGACGUGUGUAUACCUUCACUGAAACUGCACCUUUGUCUGUCCAGAGGACGAGGCAUGCCUUAGUUGAUCUCUGACAUGACUCUUGUAAUCUGCACACGAGUGGAUGCAACCUUUUGCUUCGUGCAAAUGGAGCUUUGUAGCUGUACCACAGUAGUCUGUUGCUGCCUGUGAUCCUAAACCAUAGUGUUGUGAGCAUGAAGACUUCGUUUUUUUGGAAGUAACCAUAGGUUCUGAACUGCAUUGUGCUGUGUAGCUCGUCAAUCAAUUCUGGAAUGCGAACUUUGUUUACUGCAUCACCAGGAGUAGGACAGACAGUGUGUGGAGCUUAGUUGUAAUAAUUAUAAUAAUAUAUGCUAUGUGUUGGGGACCUUCGGCAUCCGAAGGUCCUCAAAAACAGGAUUUAACAGUA